GAUGAACGCUGGCGGCGUGCCUAAUACAUGCAAGUCGAGCGAACAGACGAGGAGCUUGCUCCUCUGACGUUAGCGGCGGACGGGUGAGUAACACGUGGAUAACCUACCUAUAAGACUGGGAUAACUUCGGGAAACCGGAGCUAAUACCGGAUAAUAUAUUGAACCGCAUGGUUCAAUAGUGAAAGACGGUUUUGCUGUCACUUAUAGACGGAUCCGCGCCGCAUUAGCUAGUUGGUAAGGUAACGGCUUACCAGGGCAACGAUGCGUAGCCGACCUGAGAGGGUGAUCGGCCACACUGGAACUGAGACACGGUCCAGACUCCUACGGGAGGCAGCAGUAGGGAAUCUUCCGCAAUGGGCGAAAGCCUGACGGAGCAACGCCGCGUGAGUGAUGAAGGUCUUCGGAUCGUAAAACUCUGUUAUUAGGGAAGAACAAAUGUGUAAGUAACUAUGCACGUCUUGACGGUACCUAAUCAGAAAGCCACGGCUAACUACGUG
rnacentral:rRNA from 1 species